UCCAGGGUAGCCUAGUGGACAUGGCACCUGCCCGGUAAAUCAGAAGGUUGUGGGUUCGAUUCCCGCCCCUGGAC